GGAUGUGAGGGCGAUCUGGCUGCGACAUCUGUCACCCCAUUGAUCGCCAGGGUUGAUUCGGCUGAUCUGGCUGGCUAGGCGGGUGUCCCCUUCCUCCCUCACCGCUCCAUGUGCGUCCCUCCCGAAGCUGCGCGCUCGGUCGAAGAGGACGACCUUCCCCGAUAGAGGAGGACCGUUCUUCGGUCAAGGGUAUACGAGUAGCUGCGCUCCCCUGCUAGAACCUCCAAACAAGCUCUCAAGGUCCAUAUUCCUGGCUUGCUGAGCCAUCGACUUUGGAAUCUUGUCACUCCUGGCAUUCUCUACGAAUGGCGUGGGG
rnacentral:sRNA from 1 species